UGGAACAGGCGGAGGACAAUGGCUGACCUUAGUGGAGUGUCACAACGGCUGGGAAGCUGGAUGAAGGCUGCAGCAGAAAAGGGUCUCCUGUCGUCUUGGACUUCAUGCCGCUGGAUCCUGAUCCAGAUCUGUCAAGGACUGUGGGGUGGCCGUCUGUGCACCAGUCUCCACACGUUAAACAAAGUCACGCACAGGCGUCCUCCAUAAAGGGAAUAGCAACCUGGAGACACCCCAUGGUCAGCCAUGACUGAAGGGGGCCUAAGAAGAAUCGUGGCUCUCAGCUG